GUAGUCAUAUGCUUGUCUCAAAGAUUAAGCCAUGCAUGUCUAAGUAUAAGCAAUUAUACCGUGAAACUGCGAAUGGCUCAUUAAAUCAGUUAUCGUUUAUUUGAUAGUACCUUACUACUUGGAUAACCGUGGUAAUUCUAGAGCUAAUACAUGCUUAAAACCCCAACUUCGGGAGGGGUGUAUUUAUUAGAUAAAAAACCAACGCCCUUCGGGGCUUCUUGGUGAUUCAUGAUAACUUUACGGAUCGCAUGGCCUUGCGCCGGCGACGGUUCAUUCAAAUUUCUGCCCUAUCAACUUUCGAUGGUAAGGUAUUGGCUUACCAUGGUUUCAACGGGUAACGGGGAAUUAGGGUUCGAUUCCGGAGAGGGAGCCUGAGAAACGGCUACCACAUCCAAGGAAGGCAGCAGGCGCGCAAAUUACC
rnacentral:rRNA from 1 species